AUGAGAUUCAAUCCCUAUGACCUUGGACCAUGUAGAUUUGGUUCAGAAGCUAUCUUUGUUCCCUGCGUAUCUGGCACCACUUCAGAAGAAGAUGAUGGCUACUUGAUAUUAUUCGUACACGAUGAGCAUAUUGGAAAAUCCGCAGUGAAUGUUGUAGAUGCAAAAACUAUGUCAUCUGAGCCUGUCGCAGUUGUUGAAUUGCCACACAGAGUUCCAUAUGGGUUUCAUGCCUUCUUUGUUACAGAGGCUCGUGAAGCUGCAAUAUCUGUGCAAGAGAAAUCAGUUGAUCUUCAGCGGAAAAAGAGUAAAGGUCCGUGGAAACUUGAUGCCAUGAAAUUGUUUUUGACAAUUGAAUUUUAUGUACUACAUUGAAUACUGUAUUUAUGGAAAUAGUAAUAGUUUAUUUGUAGAUGGAAUUACAAAGCCAUAGUUAUGGAGGAUUAGAAACCAAAUUGUAGUAUCUUGUUACCUUUUUCUAUAAAAAAAAAUGUUUUAUGAACAAUCAGCUUUCAUUGAGACAAGU